rnacentral:rRNA from 1 species
UGGGGAAUAUUGGACAAUGGGGGGAACCCUGAUCCAGCCAUGCCGCGUGUGUGAAGAAGGCCUUAUGGUUGUAAAGCACUUUAAGCGAGGAGGAGGGUACUGGUAUUAAUACUACCAGGUACUGGACGUUACUCGCAGAAUAAGCACCGGCUAACUCUGUGCCAGCAGCCGAGGUAAUACAGAGGGUGCGAGCGUUAAUCGGAUUUACUGGGCGUAAAGCGUGCGUAGGCGGCUAAUUGAGUCGGAUGUGAAAUCCCCGAGCUUAACUUGGGAACUGCAUUCGAUACUGGUUAGCUAGAGUGUGGGAGAGGAUGGUAGAAUUCCAGGUGUAGCGGUGAAAUGCGUAGAGAUCUGGAGGAAUACCGAUGGCGAAGGCAGCCAUCUGGCCUAACACUGACGCUGAGGUACGAAAGCAUGGGGAGCAAACAGG